rnacentral:rRNA from 1 species
ACACUGCAAGUCGAGCGCAUGAAGGGAGCUUGCUCCCGGAUUCAGCGGCGGACGGGUGAGUAAUGCCUACGAAUCUGCCUGGUAGUGGGGGACAACGUUUCGAAAGGAACGCUAAUACCGCAUACGUCCUACGGGAGAAAGCAGGGGACCUUCGGGCCUUGCGCUAUCAGAUGAGCCUAGGUCGGAUUAGCUAGUUGGUGAGGUAAUGGCUCACCAAGGCGACGAUCCGUAACUGGUCUGAGAGGAUGAUCAGUCACACUGGAACUGAGACACGGUCCAGACUCCUACGGGAGGCAGCAGUGGGGAAUAUUGGACAAUGGGCGAAAGCCUGAUCCAGCCAUGCCGCGUGUGUGAAGAAGGUCUUCGGAUUGUAAAGCACUUUAAGUUGGGAGGAAGGGUUGUAGAUUAAUACUCUGCAAUUUUGACGUUACCGACAGAAUAAGCACCGGCUAACUCUGUGCCAGCAGCCGCGGUAAUACAGAGGGUGCAAGCGUUAAUCGGAAUUACUGGGCGUAAAGCGCGCGUAGGUGGUUCGUUAAGUUGGAUGUGAAAUCCCCGGGCUCAACCUGGGAACUGCAUCCAAAACUGGCGAGCUANAGUAUGGUAGAGGGUGGUGGAAUUUCCUGUGUAGCGGUGAAAUGCGUAUAUAUAGGAAGGAACACCAGUGGCGAAGGCGACCACCUGGACUGAUACUGACACUG